GCUUGUUUUGAGCAUUCAUUCAUCUGAAUCGAAUGCGAAUUUAAUAUGGUGGCAACAUGGUGUGGUUAUCGGGAGUGAUCAGAGAAGGCCAACAUCCAGUAAUCCUGAAGAUUAUGUACAAAGAUUCGAUUUAACAACCAGAACUGUAUAAAUGGGAUCUGUAAUGAAUAACAUGUUAAGUGUCAGCUAAAGCAGUGGUGGCAAUGUUUCUCUCUCUCUAAAGGCAUUGAGUCCAGCUUGAAAUGGAUGACCCUCUGACAUUGUGAAGAUAUUGCUUGCAGCAGUAAGCCUGUCAUCAUCCCUCGGGAAUGUUGUUCUGUAGUCUUGUGCAGAGAUGUCAUAUUUGGUCAGUUUCUGCUGAAGGUCAUCAAUGGGCAGCAUUUUAUAAAAAAAUUUCAGUUUGUUAAUGACUUUAAAUAUGCCAAGACCAGCAGCUGCCAGAUCUUGCAUGGACUUUUGGACCAGAUUGACAUUUGGAUGGCAGUGCAAGGAAAAGCUUGUGUUGAUGCGGCAGGCAGUUGUGCAUGGCCCUUUCAUUGUUAAGAUUCUAAGGGUAAUAACCUCAUUUGCCACACCCACGUUUAUCACCUUAGCAGAGCCAUUAAUUUUGCUGGCCUACA